GAUGAAGAACGAAGCGAAAUGCGAUAAGUAGUGUGAAUUGCAGAAUUCAGUGAAUCAUCGAAUCUUUGAACGCACAUUGCGCCCCUCGGUAUUCCGUGGGGCAUGCCUGUUCGAGCGUCAUUUAACCCCUCAAGCCUAGCUUGGUAUUGGGUGCUUGUCCCGCCUCUCGCGCGGCGACUCACCUCAAAGUCAUUGGCAGCCCGCAUCUCGCCGGCCGUGAGCGCAGCACAGACGCGCUCUUGGCAACGACGGAUCGGCUCUCCAAAAGCUUAUUUCAACCACUGACCUCGGAUCAGGUAGGGAUACCCGCUGAACUUAAGCAUAUCAAUAAGCGGAGGA
rnacentral:misc_RNA from 1 species